rnacentral:rRNA from 1 species
UACGAAGGGGGCUAGCGUUGUUCGGAAUUACUGGGCGUAAAGCGUGCGCAGGCGGCCUUCCAAGUCAGGGGUGAAAGCCCAGAGCUCAACUCUGGAAUUGCCUUUGAGACUGUGAGGCUUGAGUACGGGAGAGGUGAGUGGAAUUCCCAGUGUAGAGGUGAAAUUCGUAGAUAUCGAGAGGAACACCGGUGGCGAAGGCGGCCUUCUGGACAGUGACUGACGCUGAGACGCGAAAGCGUGGGGAGCAAACAGG